rnacentral:rRNA from 2 species
GACGAACGCUGGCGGCGUGCCUAAUACAUGCAAGUCGAGCGAGCUUGCCUAGAUGAUUUUAGUGCUUGCACUAAAUGAAACUAGAUACAAGCGAGCGGCGGACGGGUGAGUAACACGUGGGUAACCUGCCCAAGAGACUGGGAUAACACCUGGAAACAGAUGCUAAUACCGGAUAACAACACUAGACGCAUGUCUAGAGUUUGAAAGAUGGUUCUGCUAUCACUCUUGGAUGGACCUGCGGUGCAUUAGCUAGUUGGUAAGGUAACGGCUUACCAAGGCAAUGAUGCAUAGCCGAGUUGAGAGACUGAUCGGCCACAUUGGGACUGAGACACGGCCCAAACUCCUACGGGAGGCAGCAGUAGGGAAUCUUCCACAAUGGACGAAAGUCUGAUGGAGCAACGCCGCGUGAGUGAAGAAGGGUUUCGGCUCGUAAAGCUCUGUUGGUAGUGAAGAAAGAUAGAGGUAGUAACUGGCCUUUAUUUGACGGUAAUUACUUAGAAAGUCACGGCUAACUACGUGCCAGCAGCCGCGGUAAUACGUAGGUGGCAAGCGUUGUCCGGAUUUAUUGGGCGUAAAGCGAGUGCAGGCGGUUCAAUAAGUCUGAUGUGAAAGCCUUCGGCUCAACCGGAGAAUUGCAUCAGAAACUGUUGAACUUGAGUGCAGAAGAGGAGAGUGGAACUCCAUGUGUAGCGGUGGAAUGCGUAGAUAUAUGGAAGAACACCAGUGGCGAAGGCGGCUCUCUGGUCUGCAACUGACGCUGAGGCUCGAAAGCAUGGGUAGCGAACAGG